CUUUUUUUUUUUUUUUUAAAUAACAGAAAAUAAACAAGUCUGGGUCAAUAUACAAGAAAUUAAUUAGGAGAUACUCAGGCUAAGUCAACUGACAGCACAAGAAAGCAGAGGAGUACCACCAAGAGUAUUGUGCCUGGGCUCACAUUAAUUGCUGAGACAGAUAGAGAGAAACGUAAUACACUCAGAUGCAAAGACAAACUAGCACUGUUUUAACAGGGGAUUCCAGAACAGCAGUCUAUUCAACCUACACCCGUAGCAUACAGGCAGAGUCCAAGUAGAUGUAAAGGGUGACUGAGGUCACCCUGGGCUCCAUGUAUCGCCUCUGCCUUCCAGCAUCCAUGAUCACCGGCUCUGUCCCUUUCAACCAGGAAAUGUGUGUGAGAUCUUAUGGAGCGAUUGUCUUCACAAGUACACAAACUGCGUGCAGCUCGCUGGUUCCACUUGGGUCUCCGCCUGGGAGGGGUAUUCAGGGUGGCAACUCUGCGAUCCUCCGGGUCACUGGAGCUGACAAUGCGAGCUGCCUCCAUGUCCUUAAGCUCUGCGAGAACUGCUCACAGGUUGCGUUGAAUGCUCGUGAGAAGCUUUCUUCUCAGUUCUCCAUCGGGGUCUUUACAUCAUGCUUCGCGGCAGUGCCGCUAUUAGCCAUUUUGGACAGGCCGGGUGAACCCAGGAUUGGCAGAAAGGUAAAAGGUGGGGACCUGGAUAACCCUCGCCGGUCCAAAGGGGGGGGGGGGGUGUACGGGGAACUAAUGCUCACAAGAGAACCUGGGCAGUCCACCUCAGAGAGAUGGGCUGCUUCCCCCAACGAGGAGACACACCAGGGCGCAGCUUGUUGGUCAAGACCAAUGUUACCCAAGAGGUGCCAAAGGACUUUGCAGGUCACAAAGCAUUUAGGAAGAGGGUAAUAAUAUUCUCAAAAACAUGUAAUUAAAUAAAUAUAUUGGGAGAUCAAUCCUGCUGCAUCCUCUCAGUAUGGCGGUCAAGUCCCGCCCCCAUAAGCUUACAUUAUUAUGUAGGAUAUGUUUGUUCAGAUUGUUUUUGCGUCUGUCACCAGAACAAAAUAAUAUUUAAAGAGAUACACUGGAUAUCUGACGUGCAAUAGUGUAUCUAACAGGAUUAUGGGGGAAAAUAUCUUGAGUUUAGUUUUUUCGUAGUCUAGAUUCAAUAUCCCAUCAAACAAGAUACAAACAUUUAUCCUGUAGCGCCCUGCGCAGCCAGAAUAUUCCAUCAAUUUACUUAUAAGUGCUUUUGCAAUAUCUUAAAGGAUGAAUGUGAAAAUCAUUUAUCUUAGCAAACUAAUAUUCAGUUCCACCACAUAGCCAUAUUGUGCUAAGCCCGCCACUGUGUCACAGUACCCCAAUAUCAGUGGGUCGUACACUAAUUUUUAACCAGAGACUCUCCUCAUUCUAUGCUUCCCAUCCACCAUAGGUGCCUCCUUUGCGGAAAGCAUAAAUUGCGGAGAGUCUCUGGAAGCAGUUUAAGCAAUAAGUAUUGCAGUUAGCA